UGGGGAAUUUUGGACAAUGGGCGAAAGCCUGAUCCAGCCAUGCCGCGUGAGUGAAGAAGGCCUUCGGGUUGUAAAGCUCUUUUAGUCGGAAAGAAAGAGUUGCAAUGAAUAAUUGUGAUUUAUGACGGUACCGACAGAAAAAGCACCGGCUAACUACGUGCCAGCAGCCGCGGUAAUACGUAGGGGGCGAGCGUUAAUCGGAAUUACUGGGCGUAAAGGGUGCGCAGGCGGUCUUGCAAGUCAGAUGUGAAAGCCCCGGGCUUAACCUGGGAAUUGCGUUUGAAACUACAAGGCUAGAGUGCAGCAGAGGGGAGUGGAAUUCCAUGUGUAGCAGUGAAAUGCGUAGAGAUGUGGAAGAACACCGAUGGCGAAGGCAGCUCCCUGGGUUGACACUGACGCUCAUGCACGAAAGCGUGGGGAGCAAACA
rnacentral:rRNA from 1 species